UACGGGGGGGGUAAGCGUUGUUCGGAAUUACUGGGCGUAAAGGGCUCGUAGGUUGCCAACUAAGUCAGACGUGAAAUCCCUCAGCUUAACUGGGGAACUGCGUCUGAUACUGGAUGGCUUGAGUUUGGGAGAGGGAUGCGGAAUUCCAGGUGUAGCGGUGAAAUGCGUAGAUAUCUGGAGGAACACCGGUGGCGAAGGCGGCAUCCUGGACCAACACUGACACUGAGGAGCGAAAGCCAGGGGAGCAAACGGG
rnacentral:rRNA from 1 species